rnacentral:rRNA from 1 species
CAGCCGCCGCGGUAAUUCGAAGGGGGCUAGCGUUGCUCGGAAUGACUGGGCGUAAAGGGCGCGUAGGCGGUUUGGACAGUCAGAUGUGAAAUUCCUGGGCUCAACCUGGGGGCUGCAUUUGAUACGUUCGGACUAGAGUGGGGAAGAGGGUCGUGGAAUUCCCAGUGUAGAGGUGAAAUUCGUAGAUAUUGGGAAGAACACCGGUGGCGAAGGCGGCGACCUGGUCCUUGACUGACGCUGAGGCGCGAAAGCGUGGGGAGCAAACAGGAUUAGAUACCCUGGUAGUCCACGCCGUAAACGAUGUGCGCUGGAUGUUGGGCGGCCUAGCCGUUCAGUGUCGCAGCUAACGCGAUAAGCGCACCGCCUGGGGAGUACGGCCGCAAGGUUGAAACUUAAAGGAAUUGACGG